rfam:Calypte anna contig35198, whole genome shotgun sequence.
CACCCUCCUUCCACUUUGCCAGUUAGACAGUUAUUGUCUUGAUUGGUCAUUCAAGGUGGGUAAAGUAUUUAUCCUUUUUAUAACCCAAGCAAAUGGUGCUCAUUUGGCUUGGAUCCUGUCAGAGGAAACAGUU